GCUCAGGACGAACGCUGGCGGCGUGCCUAAUACAUGCAAGUCGAACGAACUCUGGUAUUGAUUGGUGCUUGCAUCAUGAUUUACAUUUGAGUGAGUGGCGAACUGGUGAGUAACACGUGGGAAACCUGCCCAGAAGCGGGGGAUAACACCUGGAAACAGAUGCUAAUACCGCAUAACAACUUGGACCGCAUGGUCCGAGUUUGAAAGAUGGCUUCGGCUAUCACUUUUGGAUGGUCCCGCGGCGUAUUAGCUAGAUGGUGGGGUAACGGCUCACCAUGGCAAUGAUACGUAGCCGACCUGAGAGGGUAAUCGGCCACAUUGGGACUGAGACACGGCCCAAACUCCUACGGGAGGCAGCAGUAGGGAAUCUUCCACAAUGGACGAAAGUCUGAUGGAGCAACGCCGCGUGAGUGAAGAAGGGUUUCGGCUCGUAAAACUCUGUUGUUAAAGAAGAACAUAUCUGAGAGUAACUGUUCAGGUAUUGACGGUAUUUAACCAGAAAGCCACGGCUAACUACGUGCCAGCAGCCGCGGUAAUACGUAGGUGGCAAGCGUUGUCCGGAUUUAUUGGGCGUAAAGCGAGCGCAGGCGGUUUUUUAAGUCUGAUGUGAAAGCCUUCGGCUCAACCGAAGAAGUGCAUCGGAAACUGGGAAACUUGAGUGCAGAAGAGGACAGUGGAACUCCAUGUGUAGCGGUGAAAUGCGUAGAUAUAUGGAAGAACACCAGUGGCGAAGGCGGCUGUCUGGUCUGUAACUGACGCUGAGGCUCGAAAGUAUGGGUAGCAAACAGGAUUAGAUACCCUGGUAGUCCAUACCGUAAACGAUGAAUGCUAAGUGUUGGAGGGUUUCCGCCCUUCAGUGCUGCAGCUAACGCAUUAAGCAUUCCGCCUGGGGAGUACGGCCGCAAGGCUGAAACUCAAAGGAAUUGACGGGGGCCCGCACAAGCGGUGGAGCAUGUGGUUUAAUUCGAAGCUACGCGAAGAACCUUACCAGGUCUUGACAUACUAUGCAAAUCUAAGAGAUUAGACGUUCCCUUCGGGGACAUGGAUACAGGUGGUGCAUGGUUGUCGUCAGCUCGUGUCGUGAGAUGUUGGGUUAAGUCCCGCAACGAGCGCAACCCUUAUUAUCAGUUGCCAGCAUUAAGUUGGGCACUCUGGUGAGACUGCCGGUGACAAACCGGAGGAAGGUGGGGAUGACGUCAAAUCAUCAUGCCCCUUAUGACCUGGGCUACACACGUGCUACAAUGGAUGGUACAACGAGUUGCGAACUCGCGAGAGUAAGCUAAUCUCUUAAAGCCAUUCUCAGUUCGGAUUGUAGGCUGCAACUCGCCUACAUGAAGUCGGAAUCGCUAGUAAUCGCGGAUCAGCAUGCCGCGGUGAAUACGUUCCCGGGCCUUGUACACACCGCCCGUCACACCAUGAGAGUUUGUAACACCCAAAGUCGGUGGGGUAACCUUUUUAGGAACCAGCCGCCUAAGGUGGGACAGAUGAUUUAGGGGUGAAGUCGUAACAAGGUAGCCGUA
rnacentral:rRNA from 2 species